GUGUAUGUAUGUACUUACUAUGUAUAUAUUAUAUAUGUAUAAUACACAGACGUAUGUCAUAUUUUAUGGAUACUACUUAUACUCAAACGUUAUUCAUUGUUUACCUGAAUUUGAAAUUUAAUUUAGUAUUCUAUAUUUUUCUGGCAAAUCUGGGAUAGAUGACUGAGGUUCUCAAUAUUGAACAAAAGUUUUUAAAAAGUAGUGAUACCAAAAGUUACCAAUGGUGCAAGGAAUUCAACUAGCCCUGUGUAACCAUUGUGAUUAUUGUUAGUCUGUGAUCUUUAGUUUCAUUUGCAUAUUUUUGUGUUUUCUGAAUUUCAGCGAGCUAGAAGCCUUUUAAUAUUUUCCCCAGGUUCUGUCAAUGGGGCGAAUUGAUGGGAAGAUAGAAGGCAGAGAGAGGAGGUUGUUUCUCCCAGCUUCUGGUUGUGCCUUUGCCAUCAGUAGCAACAGCCGGAGGCAGUUCCAGGCUCUUUGCAGCAACUUUGGCAUCAGCCGCAGCAUCACUGUUAGUGAUUUCAGCAGCAAUAGCAUCCCUGUGGGUUCCUGGGACUCUGCUCAGCAGGAGUGUUUUGGUACCAGCAGCAGGAACGGCAGCAGAAGUACCACUGGCAGAUUGGCUUGCGCCCUGCUGUUUCCAGACACCCCAGCAGAGAACUAUACUUUCACUCUAUCUCAGGACCAGCACAGAGGGAGGAGGCUCUGCAGGCUGCGAGAAAGAUAAGGUGAGUCAGAGACUGAAGAAUAAGUCAUAAAAGAAAAACAUGUAAAGAUACAGGGAAAUCGAUAAAAUUAAUAUUAUUAUUAUUAUUAUUUUUUUGAGACGGAGUCUCACUCUGUUGCCCAGGCUGGAGUGCGGUGGCCGGAUCUCAGCUCACUGCAAGCUCCGCCUCCCGGGUUUACGCCGUUCUCCUGCCUCAGCCUCCCAAGUAGCGGGGACUACAGGCGCCGCCACCUCGCCCAGCUAGUUUUUUUGUAUUUUUUAGUACAGACGGGGUUUCACCGUGUUAGCCAGGAUGGUCUCGAUCUCCUAACCUCGUGAUCCGCCCGUCUCGGCCUCCCAAAGUGCUGGGAUUACAGGCUUGAGCCACCGCACCCAGCCAAAUUAAUAUUAUUUAAAUAUAUAUGACUCCUUUUUAGAUACCAUUUAUUGAGAAUUCACUCAAUAGCACAACGCUAUAACAAUGACUCCUAUCUCAAUUAAUUUUCACAAUAUCCC
rnacentral:lncRNA from 10 species